GGGUUGUGAGGUUAAGCGACUAAGCGUACACGGUGGAUGCCCUGGCAGUCAGAGGCGAUGAAGGACGUGCUAAUCUGCGAUAAGCGCCGGUAAGGUGAUAUGAACCGUUAUAACCGGCGAUUUCCGAAUGGGGAAACCCAGUGUGAUUCGUCACACUAUCAUUAACUGAAUCCAUAGGUUAAUGAGGCGAACCGGGGGAACUGAAACAUCUAAGUACCCCGAGGAAAAGAAAUCAACCGAGAUUCCCCCAGUAGCGGCGAGCGAACGGGGAGGAGCCCAGAGCCUGAAUCAGCAUGUGUGUUAGUGGAAGCGUCUGGAAAGGCGCGCGAUACAGGGUGACAGCCCCGUACACAAAAGCGCAUGUGCUGUGAGCUCGAUGAGUAGGGCGGGACACGUGGUAUCCUGUCUGAAUAUGGGGGGACCAUCCUCCAAGGCUAAAUACUCCUGACUGACCGAUAGUGAACCAGUACCGUGAGGGAAAGGCGAAAAGAACCCCGGCGAGGGGAGUGAAAAAGAACCUGAAACCGUGUACGUACAAGCAGUGGGAGCACCCUUCGGGGUGUGACUGCGUACCUUUUGUAUAAUGGGUCAGCGACUUAUAUUCUGUAGCAAGGUUAACCGUAUAGGGGAGCCGGAGGGAAACCGAGUCUUAAUUGGGCGUUAAGUUGCAGGGUAUAGACCCGAAACCCGGUGAUCUAGCCAUGGGCAGGUUGAAGGUUGGGUAACACUAACUGGAGGACCGAACCGACUAAUGUUGAAAAAUUAGCGGAUGACCUGUGGCUGGGGGUGAAAGGCCAAUCAAACCGGGAGAUAGCUGGUUCUCCCCGAAAGCUAUUUAGGUAGCGCCUCGUGAAUUCAUCUCCGGGGGUAGAGCACUGUUUCGGCUAGGGGGCCAUCCCGGCUUACCAACCCGAUGCAAACUGCGAAUACCGGAGAAUGUUAUCACGGGAGACACACGGCGGGUGCUAACGUCCGUCGUGAAGAGGGAAACAACCCAGACCGCCAGCUAAGGUCCCAAAGUCAUGGUUAAGUGGGAAACGAUGUGGGAAGGCCCAGACAGCCAGGAUGUUGGCUUAGAAGCAGCCAUCAUUUAAAGAAAGCGUAAUAGCUCACUGGUCGAGUCGGCCUGCGCGGAAGAUGUAACGGGGCUAAACCAUGCACCGAAGCUGCGGCAGCGAACGUAUCACCCAAGACAACUUUACGGAGUUGACGAUUGACGGAGCGAAGCGACGUCAAAGCGUUCAUUAAAGUCGAGUUGGCUUAGGGAUACGUUCGUUGGGUAGGGGAGCGUUCUGUAAGCCUGUGAAGGUGUGUCGUGAGGCAUGCUGGAGGUAUCAGAAGUGCGAAUGCUGACAUAAGUAACGAUAAAGCGGGUGAAAAGCCCGCUCGCCGGAAGACCAAGGGUUCCUGUCCAACGUUAAUCGGGGCAGGGUGAGUCGACCCCUAAGGCGAGGCCGAAAGGCGUAGUCGAUGGGAAACGGGUUAAUAUUCCCGUACUUGGUGUUACUGCGAAGGGGGGACGGAGAAGGCUAUGUUGGCCGGGCGACGGUUGUCCCGGUUUAAGCGUGUAGGUGUGUGUUCCAGGUAAAUCCGGUUCACUUUAACACUGAGGCGUGACGACGAGGCACUACGGUGCUGAAGCAACAAAUGCCCUGCUUCCAGGAAAAGCCUCUAAGCAUCAGGUAACACGAAAUCGUACCCCAAACCGACACAGGUGGUCAGGUAGAGAAUACCAAGGCGCUUGAGAGAACUCGGGUGAAGGAACUAGGCAAAAUGGUGCCGUAACUUCGGGAGAAGGCACGCUGACACGUAGGUGAAGUGAUUUACUCAUGGAGCUGAAGUCAGUCGAAGAUACCAGCUGGCUGCAACUGUUUAUUAAAAACACAGCACUGUGCAAACACGAAAGUGGACGUAUACGGUGUGACGCCUGCCCGGUGCCGGAAGGUUAAUUGAUGGGGUCAGCGCAAGCGAAGCUCCUGAUCGAAGCCCCGGUAAACGGCGGCCGUAACUAUAACGGUCCUAAGGUAGCGAAAUUCCUUGUCGGGUAAGUUCCGACCUGCACGAAUGGCGUAAUGAUGGCCAGGCUGUCUCCACCCGAGACUCAGUGAAAUUGAACUCGCUGUGAAGAUGCAGUGUACCCGCGGCAAGACGGAAAGACCCCGUGAACCUUUACUAUAGCUUGACACUGAACAUUGAGCCUUGAUGUGUAGGAUAGGUGGGAGGCUUUGAAGUGUGGACGCCAGUCUGCAUGGAGCCGACCUUGAAAUACCACCCUUUAAUGUUUGAUGUUCUAACGUGGACCCGUUACCCGGGUUGCGGACAGUGUCUGGUGGGUAGUUUGACUGGGGCGGUCUCCUCCUAAAGAGUAACGGAGGAGCACGAAGGUUGGCUAAUCCUGGUCGGACAUCAGGAGGUUAGUGCAAUGGCAUAAGCCAGCUUGACUGCGAGCGUGACGGCGCGAGCAGGUGCGAAAGCAGGUCAUAGUGAUCCGGUGGUUCUGAAUGGAAGGGCCAUCGCUCAACGGAUAAAAGGUACUCCGGGGAUAACAGGCUGAUACCGCCCAAGAGUUCAUAUCGACGGCGGUGUUUGGCACCUCGAUGUCGGCUCAUCACAUCCUGGGGCUGAAGUAGGUCCCAAGGGUAUGGCUGUUCGCCAUUUAAAGUGGUACGCGAGCUGGGUUUAGAACGUCGUGAGACAGUUCGGUCCCUAUCUGCCGUGGGCGCUGGAGAACUGAGGGGGGCUGCUCCUAGUACGAGAGGACCGGAGUGGACGCAUCACUGGUGUUCGGGUUGUCAUGCCAAUGGCACUGCCCGGUAGCUAAAUGCGGAAGAGAUAAGUGCUGAAAGCAUCUAAGCACGAAACUUGCCCCGAGAUGAGUUCUCCCUGAGACUUAGAGUCUCCUGAAGGAACGUUGAAGACGACGACGUUGAUAGGCCGGGUGUGUAAGCGCAGCGAUGCGUUGAGCUAACCGGUACUAAUGAACCGUGAGGCUUAACCUUACAACGCCGAAG
rnacentral:rRNA from 1 species